AUUGAACGCUGGCGGCAUGCCUUACACAUGCAAGUCGAACGGUGACGAUCAAGCUUGCUUGGUCUGAUCAGUGGCGAACGGGUGAGUAACACGUGAGUAACCUGCCCCAGACUCUGGGAUAACCCCGGGAAACCGGAGCUAAUACCGGAUAUGACACGCCCCUGCAUGGGGAGUGUGUGGAAAGUUUUUUCGGUCUGGGAUGGACUCGCGGCCUAUCAGCUUGUUGGUGAGGUAAUGGCUCACCAAGGCGACGACGGGUAGCCGGCCUGAGAGGGCGACCGGCCACACGGGGACUGAGACACGGCCCAGACUCCUGCGGGAGGCAGCAGUGGGAAAGAGUGCACAGGGGGCGAAAGCCUGAUGCAGCGACGCCGCGUGAGGGAUGACGGCCUUCGGGUUGUAAACCUCUUUCAGCAGGGAAGAAGCGCAAGUGACGGUACCUGCAGAAGAAGCACCGGCUAACUACGUGCCAGCAGCCGCCGUAAGAC
rnacentral:rRNA from 1 species